rnacentral:rRNA from 1 species
GAUGAACGCUGGCGGCGUGCUUAACACAUGCAAGUCGAACGGUGAAAGAGAGCUUGCUCUCUGGAUCAGUGGCGAACGGGUGAGUAACACGUGAGCAAUCUGCCCUUGACUCUGGGAUAAGCGCUGGAAACGGCGUCUAAUACUGGAUACGAGCUGCGAAGGCAUCUUCAGCAGCUGGAAAGAACUUCGGUCAAGGAUGAGCUCGCGGCCUAUCAGCUUGUUGGUGAGGUAAUGGCUCACCAAGGCGUCGACGGGUAGCCGGCCUGAGAGGGUGACCGGCCACACUGGGACUGAGACACGGCCCAGACUCCUACGGGAGGCAGCAGUGGGGAAUAUUGCACAAUGGGCGCAAGCCUGAUGCAGCAACGCCGCGUGAGGGACGACGGCCUUCGGGUUGUAAACCUCUUUUAGCAGGGAAGAAGCGAAAGUGACGGUACCUGCAGAAAAAGCACCGGCCAACUACGUGCCAGCAGCCGCAGUAA